rnacentral:rRNA from 1 species
GAGCGCAACCCUUAUCCUUGUUUGCCAGCGAGUAAUGUCGGGAACUCCAGGGAGACUGCCGGUGAUAAACCGGAGGAAGGUGGGGACGACGUCAAGUCAUCAUGGCCCUUACGAGUAGGGCUACACACGUGCUACAAUGGCGCAUACAGAGGGCGGCCAACUUGCGAAAGUGAGCGAAUCCCAAAAAGUGCGUCGUAGUCCGGAUUGGAGUCUGCAACUCGACUCCAUGAAGUCGGAAUCGCUAGUAAUCGUGGAUCAGAAUGCCACGGUGAAUACGUUCCCGGGCCUUGUACACACCGCCCGUCACACCAUGGGAG